rnacentral:tRNA from 1 species
GGAAGGGUGACUGAGUGGUUUAAGGUAAAAUACCUUUUGGUGUUUGCGCAUUUGUGCGCCGUACGUUCGAAUCGUACCCCUUCCGCCA